rnacentral:tRNA from 1 species
GCCUCUGUAGCUCAGUUGGUUAGAGCGCUGCAUCGGAAUCGCAGGGCCGCAGGUUCAAUUCCUGCCAGGGACC